GACACGGCACAGCCCGCGGAGGCCCCGGCGCCUCGGCCACCCCGGGGGCGCAGCGCCUGUGUCGCCUGUCCGUGUGGAUCUGGCAGUCGGUCAUCCACCUGCUGCAGAUGGGGCAGGUGUGGAGCUCUAAGCGAAAGACAUGAGGCCUCAGCUGAAAUGAGGUGGUUUGAGGUCAUCCGGUUUCUGGCUAGAAGUGUGCGGUCGCCUCGUCCUGAAACUGCUUCACACAAUGGUUUGCAAUUUUUUUUGGUGAUGGCAUGUUCAGAAUCUUGGAUCCCUAAGUUGAAUGUUGGAAAUAUUUAGGAACCUUGGAAAUUAUGUUUUCAUGUAUUUAAUGUCUUGGUAGGUGAAUCAGUAGAUUUAAUAAAAGUAUAAAAAGACCUGUGUGCUCUCAUGUUGGCAGGCAUGUCUCAGUGUCUAUUGUGUUAGCCUGCACUUUGGUGACGGUCACCUUUUGAAGGUUCGGGUUCUUACUUGCCUUGUAGUCUUAUAGGCUGGUUUGGUUAGCUUCUUCUCUAUCUAACUUGCAAUUUUGGUUACUUAGAUCAGAGAUAAUUACUGAUCAAGAAUAAAGAAGAGAAGAAAGAGCAUCAAGUGACAGUCUUAAAUGCAGUAAUCACAAAAUUUCUACUUGGCAGUUGCCUCACAAAAAUCAGUAUUAGAAUAUGGAAAUUCUCUGCAAAUACACUUGUAACAAUAUGCUGUCAAUUCUCAAAAUUAUACAUCACUAUGGAGGGUGGAGAUGCUAAUAUUGAACUCUCUGCUGCCCGAUAUGAGGCAACCUUGAAUAUAACCUCGCUUUCUUAUCUGUGUGUCUUCCUGCCUCCUACUCCCACCACUGCUGCAGGCUGGAGCAGAACAGCCCCUCCUUAGAAACCUUGAAGGCCCAAAAGCCUCCUGUAGCUUCCACUCUCUUAUUUCCUCCUUGGCCCCAAGCCCACAGACUGGAGUUGCAUGGAGUAAAAGUUCGGCUUCCUCACAAAACUUACAGAAAGCAAGAUCUGCUUUGUUUUUCUGAUUUCCAGAGUGCCUCUUUUCCCAGAGGCUUUGAACCCCACCAUUCCCCGUUGUGUCGUGGUGCCAUGCCUCUCCUAAUAAAGCUUUCAUUCUAAAAGCCGUGUCGUCUCAGCUGCCGCUCAUCAAGCCAGCCAGUUCUCCCCUACUCUCCUUCUCUGUUGGAGAAAAAAUAGAGCUGAUGAGUCGAGUUGUUGAGUUGGUGGAAAGGAAGGUGGCAAAAAAGCAAGCAGUGUGAGGAGGAAACACUAACCACCUGAAAUCAUUAGUUCCAUUUGAAAACUCAGAAGUUUUAAAAACUCAAGAUUGUGGCUAACCUGCAGCCACAAUGUCAGAAAUUAGCUCCAUUCCCUGUACACCUGAUCCCAGCCCUCUCCAUAGACUGGACUGUGGGCAAGGUGCUGUGCUGACCAUGGAUGGACGGAGAGCCCAUGUUGGACAGAGUAGACAGUGUGCCAUCAUUGGUGGCAGCCUGCCAUCCUUGCCUGCUCCUGCCGGGAUUGAGAGACUUGAGGAACAUUCUGGGACGUAGCUACUUCCGAUGAUCAAUGUAACUGCCUCCCUACUCUUAACCCAGUUGAGAAACACUAAUUUUUAAGGCCACAGCUAAGACAACUUGUAAGAGGAUGAAGGGGACUGUAGAGCUUGAAUUAGUAGCUCAGGAGGAUGCUUGGGUGUGAGUUUAUUAUUGUUAUUAUUGGUGGGUUUUUAGUGUUCCUGAAGUUAGUGUACACCUGCAGCAGUUUGCUAGAGUCUGCUAGAAGGCUUUCAGAAGUGGAAGGCUGCCCCAUGGCCCCUGCCUCUCUUUUUUUGCUUUGUUACAGGGGGAAUUGGCUGAUGUGUAUUUAAUAGAAGGCACAUUGGAAAACAUUAGAGGUUGUUGUUACUGUUCUUUUGUUCUUUUCAAGGUAGGGUCUCACUCUAGCCCAGGUUGUCUUUGAACUCACUGUAGUCCGAGGCUGGCCUCAAACCCACAGCGAUCCUUCUACUUCAACCUCCCGAGCUCUGGGA